AGCCGGCAGCACGUCACUCCAUGCGGGAGGGGAGCCCCACCUAAGGUUCUUGGCCAUAAAAUAUGGCUUUUGGAAAAAUAAAGCUGAGACUUGGAGUUCACGGUGGGGGCUCCCCCAUCUGUGAACAGAAGCAGAAGUUUGGAACUGCCUUCUUUACUGCUCGAGAGGGAAAACUUGAGUGAAAACCAGGAUGCUGGCGAAUGUUGAGUAGCUAAGCUGCACAGGAAAUACCACUUGAUGACCUGCGAUCUGGGGAAGCCGCGCCAGGGCUCUGCGAAGCUGCGGACGAGGGAGGCGUCAGUGUGGGGGCUGCAGCUCAGCUCCGGGGGGGACGCGCCUUUCUCCACGGGACCUGGGGCUCAGGUGCUCACGAGGCUGGGGCGCUGCAGGCCACCCGCAGGGGAAACUGAGGCCCUCCAUUUUGUGGGGCUGGAAGACCUUUCCUUCCAAAAGCAGGUGUAGGCGGGAGCACCUGUGCAGUCCCUCUGUUCAGAUCCUCACCCACUUUUAAAUCAGGAAACAGCAGAUGAAAUGCACAGUGUGAAGGACAAGGAUUCUGCUGAGAGAAUUGCUCCGAGGGUUGCUCAAGUGAUCAUGGGAAAUAAUGCAUCAAACCAUUCUUUAGAUGCAGCUCAGGUGUGCCUUUUCUUCGCCUGUGCCCAUCCACCUGAGAUGGACCAUAACCAUAAAAGUCAGAAGGCACUGACCCUUCAGGACGUGACAGGGUUAAAAGAUGCUGGAGGGAAAGUCUGUCAUUGACUUUUAUUCACUUCCUUUCUCCAUUCUGCCAUUUGGAAGAAGGUAAGCAACUUAACACUAUUUUAGACCAUAUGUUGUAAACUAGCAGGAAAAUGCCUUUGAGCUGAUGAUGGUGGCCCGAACACAGUGAACCUGUCUUAAAUCCCUGCUUUAAACCCUUAAGGGUGUCACUUACAAGAGAUACUAUUUGAAGUCUUCCCAUGCAUGUGUAGGGUGGGGGGAGUACCAACAGCUCAUCGAAUGGGCUCCAUUUGAAAGAUCUGGAUGGUUGCCUUUAUUUGUAACUAGUUUCUUUUCUUUUUUUUUUUUUCCUUGAGAUGGAGUCUUGCUCUAUCACUGGGCUGGAGUGCAGUGGCGCAAUCUCAGCUCACUGCAACCUCUGCCUCCCAGGUUCAAGCGAUUCUCCUGCCUCAGCUUCCCGAGUAGCUGGGACUACAGGCAUGUGCCACCACACCCAGCUAAUUUAUGUUUUAUUUUUUAGUAGAGACAGGGUUUCACCAUGUUGGCCAGGAUGGUCACGAUCUCCUGACCUCAUGAUCUGCCUGCCUCGGCCUCCCAAAGUGCUGGGAUUACAGGCGUGAGCCACCGCGCCCGGCCGUAACUAGUUUCUUAGAUGACAGCUCAGUCCACAGGAUUGAGUUAAGUCAGCUUCCCAACUUUGGGGCUGAUCCUGUCCUCAUGGCAACCUAAGAAAGUCCACCAAGGAUGUUGUCCAUUGGAAGUUGUCAAGACUUUGUCCUCAUCCAAGACAAUUAGCUUCCCAUACUUAUAUAGAGGGACCCCGUCCCUAUCCCCAAAGUGGCUUCACACUCCUUAACUCAGCUGCCUGCCUGGAACAGAAGGAGAGUUGCUGGCCUCACUGACAGAGCAUGGGGCUGGUUGACAAUUCUAAAAGCCUGGCCUGUUCCUCUGAUUGGCUACUCAGAUAGGAGAACCAGAGCAGUAGCCCAGGCUGAUAAUCAGGAACCUGGGGCCCUGGAGUUACCUGCUGCUCCUGGUGUCUGCUAGAGCUCCCUAGACAUCUUUUUAGAUGGAGGUCUGUGGCUCAGUGUGCCAUCACGCUGUCCUGUUGGCUGCAGUCUCAAGCUGGGACAGAAUGAUCAGACUGAAUGCUUGUGUCUUCCCCAAACUUGUAUGUUGAAACCUAAUCCCCAAUAUCAGUGUGUUUGGAAGUGGAGCCUUUGGGAGGUGGUUAGCUCAUGAGGGUGGAGCCCUUAUGAAUGGGAUUAGUGUUUUUGUUGUUGUUGUUGUUUUUGAGAUGGAGUAUCACUCUGUCACCAGGCUGGAGUGCAAUGGCGCGAUCUCGGCUCACUGCAACUUCCGCCUCCCAGGUUCAAGUGAAUCUCCUGCCUCAGCCUUCCGAGUAGCUGGGACUACAGGCACGUGCCACCAUGCCCAGCUAAUUUUUGUAUUUUUAGUAGAGAUGGGGUUUCACCAUGUUGGCCAGGAUGGUCUUGAUCUCUUGACCUCAUGAUCUGCCCGCCUCAGCCUCCUAGAGUGCUGAGAUUACAGGCGUGAGCCCCCGUGCCUGGCCUUGAAUGGGAUUAGUGUUUUAAAGAGGCCUGAGAGAGACUCCUGGCCACUUUUGCCUUAUGAGGACACAGUGGAAAGGUCCCAUCCCUGAACCAGGAAAUGGGCACUUACCAGACACUGAAUCUGCCUGCAGCUUGACCUUGAACUUCCCAGCCUCCAGAACUCUGAGGAAUAAAUUUCUGUUAUGUGAUAAGCCAUUCAGUCUGUGGUAUUUUGUUAUACCAGCCCAAACGGACUAAGACACAGAACAUAGCCUGUGCCUCUUCCAGUUUCUUCAGGAUCCUUCUGGGCUCAGAGAAUGGAGCUAAGAGGAAGAUUCUACCAUUAGGGCUGGUCUUCACCUGUCUCUUAAGACUGAUGGGCUCCCCAUUUGAAUGACAUUGAUCAACCCGACAUUAACCCAUUGGGUAUGGCUGGGGCAGCUCCUCUUAUCUGUGAGGUGGGAACCAGGUUGGUAAUGUUGCAUCCUGUUAGCCAGGUUCCUAGUUCAGUUUAGCUGUUGUGCAGGUCAAGGACUCUUAAGGAUUGAAUUGCAUCCCUUCAAAAGAUAUUGAAGUCCUAACCCCCAGAAUCGGUGACUGUGACCUUAUUUGGAAAUGGGUCUUUGCAGACACAAUCAAGUUAAGAUGAGGUCAUAUUGGAUUAAAGUGGUGUGUAAUUCAAUAGAUGAUCUCUUUAAUGAAAAGGGAAAUUUGUACUGAGAAACACAGAGGGAAAUGCUAUGUGAAGAUGGAGGCAGAGAUUGGAGUGAUUUGGAGCAAUGUGUAUGUCUGCAAGCCAAGGAACACCAAGUAUUGCCAGCCAUCACCAGAGCUGGAGGAGGGGCCUGGAACAGAUUCCCACUAGAGCCCCCAAAAGGAUCCAACCCUGCUGACACUUUGACUUUGGAGUUGUGGCCUUCAGAACUGUGAGAGAAUUAAUUUGUGUUGUUUUGAGCCACUCAGAGUGUGGUAUUUUGUUAUAGAAGUCCUUGGAUACUAAUAAAGACAUUAAUAGCCAGAUCGGAGGCACCCCCUCCAAGGCCUGA
rnacentral:lncRNA from 1 species